ensembl:misc_RNA Metazoa_SRP Metazoan signal recognition particle RNA
GCUAGACAUGGUGAACCAAUACCUAAUAUCAGCUACCAAGGAAGCUGAGGCUAAUUGAUCUCUUGAAUUUGGGAAUUCUGAGCUACAGUGUAUAUGCUAAUCAGGUGUCCUCAUUAAGUUUAGCAUUGAUAUGGUGGGCCCCAAGGAAUAAGGGAUCACCAAGUUUCCUAAGAAGAGUGAACUGGCCCAGGCUGUAACCAGAGCAAGUCAAAGCUCCCAUGUAGAUCUGUAGUGGGAUUGGGACUAUACCUCCAGCCUGAAUACAUAUACAUAUACAUAUACAUAU